rnacentral:sRNA from 18 species
UUUUUUGUUUUCUGUGUCAUGAUACUUACGUUAUUAGCCUUUUAUCGUCUUAUUUCAUUUUUUGGCCGGCAUGAUGCCGGCUUUUUUU